CCGGAUUCUAUCCUCGGCAUCUAUGACUGUUAUUUCCAAGGUUUCCAGUUUAUUCUUGUAACUUUCCAUCUGUGCUUUAUUUGCCAUUAGUUCUUCUUUUAAAUUUCUUAGAUGGUACUGAUGGGAGGUCUUUUUCUUGCUCUGUAGAGCUAUUGACUUCUGAGCUCUGGGAUAGUUUUAUCUGCCCAGUAGAUCUUCUAGAAUGUGGGG